rnacentral:rRNA from 1 species
CUUUGGGUAACGGGUGCUGUUAUUAGACUACAAGAGUCGUAUCGGGUUCGGGCCGUUGUGGUAGGUGACUCUGGAUAUACUUUUGGCUGAUCGCGAUGGCCCCGAGCCGGCGACGUUUCUUUCAAGUGUCUGCCUUAUCAACUUUCGAUGGUAGGUUGGUUACUUGCUUACCAUGGUUGUUACGGGUAACGGAGAAUCAGGGUUCGAUUCCGGAGAGGGAGCCUGAGAAACGGCUACCACAUCCAAGGAAGGCAGCAGGCGCGCAAAUUACCCACUCCCGGCACGGGGAGGUAGUGACGCGAUGAAAAAUAACAAUACGGGACUCUUUUGAGGCCCCGUAAUUGAAAUGAGUACACUCUAAAUCCUUUAACGAGGAUCAAUUGGAGGGCAAGUCUGGUGCCAGCAGCCGCGGUAAUUCCAGCUCCUCAAUUAGCGUAUACUAAGUGCUGCUGCGGUUAAAAAGCUCGUAGUUGGAUCUCAGUUCCAGACGAGUAGUGCAUCUACCCGAUGCGACGGCUCGGACUGAACAUCAUGCCGGUUCUUUCUUGGUGCACUUCAUUGUGUGCCUCGAGAUGGCCGGUGCUUUUACUUUGAAAAAAUUAGAGUGCUCAACGCAGGCGAGUCGCCUGAAUAAACUUGCAUGGAAUAAUAGAACAAGACCUCGUUUCUGUUCUGUUGGUUUUUGGAAUACGAGGUAAUGAUUAAGAGGGACGGACGGGGGCAUUCGUAUUGCGGCGCUAGAGGUGAAAUUCUUGGACCGUCGCAAGACGAACUACUGCGAAAGCAUUUGCCAAGAAUGUUUUCAUUGAUCAAGAACGAAAGUCAGAGGUUCGAAGGCGAUCAGAUACCGCCCUAGUUCUGACCAUAAACGAUGCCAACCAGCGAUCCGCCUGAGUUACUCAAAUGACUCGGCGGGCAGCUUCCGGGAAACCAAAGUAUUUGGGUUCCGGGGGAAGUAUGGUUGCAAAGCUGAAACUUAAAGGAAUUGACGGAAGGGCACCACCAGGAGUGGAGCCUGCGGCUUAAUUUGACUCAACACGGGAAAACUUACCCGGCCCGGACACUGGGAGGAUUGACAGAUUGAGAGCUCUUUCUUGAUUCGGUGGAUGGUGGUGCAUGGCCGUUCUUAGUUGGUGGAGCGAUUUGUCUGGUUAAUUCCGAUAACGAACGAGACUCUGCCUAGGUGCGGGGUUCCCAGCACCUUACAACCUUCUUAGAGGGACAAGCGGCUCCUAGCCGCACGAAACAGAGCAAUAACAGGUCUGUGAUGCCCUUAGAUGUCCGGGGCCGCACGCGCGCUACACUGAAGGAAGCAGCGUGUCUUUAUCCCUGUCUGAAAAGACUGGGUAACCCGUGGAACUUCUUUCGUGAUUGGGAUAGGGGCUUGCAAUUGUUCCCCUUGAACGAGGAAUUCCCAGUAAGCGCGAGUCAUAAGCUCGCGUUGAUUACGUCCCUGCCCUUUGUACACACCGCCCGUCGCUACUACCGAUUGAAUGAUUUAGUGAGGUCUUCGGACCGAUGUCCGGCGCGGCCUUUAGGUUGCGCCGGUCUGUUGGAAAGAGGAGAGCGAAGGGCGAACUUGAUCAUUUAGAGGAAAGUCAAAAGCGUACACAAGGUUCUAGGAGGUGAACUGCGGAUA